AUUGAACGCUGGCGGCAGGCCUAACACAUGCAAGUCGAGCGAGCGGCGGACGGGUGAGUAAUGUCUGGGAAACUGCCGGAUGGGGGGGGAUAACUACUGGAAACGGUAGCGAAUACCGCAUACCAUCAGAUGUGCCCAGAUGGGAUUAGCUGGUAGGUGGGGUAACGGCUCACCUAGGCGACGAUCCCUAGCUGGUCUGGGAGGAUGACCAGCAACACUGGAACUGAGACACGGUCCAGACUCCUACGGGAGGCAGCAGUGGGGAAUAUUGCACAAUGGGCGCAAGCCUGAGGCAGCCAUGCCGCGUGUGUGAAGAAGGUCUUCGGGUUGUAAAGCACUUUCAGCGGGGAGGCGUUACCCGCAGAAGAAGCACCGGCUAACUCCGUGCCAGCAGCCGCGGUAAUUC
rnacentral:rRNA from 1 species